CUGCUUCCCCCAUGCUGUUGUCCUUUUUCUACAACAGGGAACACUGUAAUCAGCACCGCGAGACAGGGAACAGCGCCCCUGACUGGCAACCUGGUUUCAUAGACAACACAUUAUACAUGAAUCCGGGACACUACAUUUAAGAUGAUGACCACUAGUGGCAGUGAUUGUCCAAACAAGCCGAAGCAGACUGGCAGGCGCCUGUGCCGUGACGUCACCCAUUCAUGCAGUUCCUGACGGCUGUCAGCCUGGCGCCGAGCGGGCGGUGUCCAUGGAGACCGCAAACAACGGGCUCCUGCUCCCCCAUUCACCUGCGCAGCGCAAACCCUGAGAACAAACUGGCUGCCCAAGAUCGUCAUUCAUUUAUCACGUUAAACCACUCUCUGAAGAGAUUACCGCCCCGCACACCUGCAAACUGCCAUUGUCACAAGCUUGCUCACUCAAGUUCCAAAGGCUACUGAAAGAAAAAAAGACAAGAGGGUUUUGAAUUUGCAGUGAUAGUUCCUAAAUUCCUUCAGUUAGCCCCCCCCCCUCUUCUUUUUUCUAAGAAAAUUCCUCAGCUCAAGUACAAGAUUGUAUCCAUCUUUUACACAGAUAUAAAAUAAAUUACAAUGCUGCAAUUUCAAUGCCCAUUGCUGGCUGUUGUCCUCUAGAAUUAGAUGUAUGAUUAAUUUACGGUUAUUCAUUUUGCUUUUUAUAUGUUUAAAUUGAAACUAAACUUUUUAGGUUUG